rnacentral:sRNA from 1 species
UUGUACAUAGCAAGGUAAGGGUUAAUUA